rnacentral:lncRNA from 1 species
UAAAGUGUAUGGAUUUCGUGUUGAAGAAAGUGAAAUUAUUAGGCUCAUCAGUAGUUUAUGCUGUGCACUCGCUAAAUUCUAGUUCUCUUGUCUUGGGCUCCCGAUUGGUGAAAAUAUGAAGCUUUCACAAUAUUUGUAACGACCCAAAAAUCACGACUAAAAAUUUCUUUACUAACAUUACUAAAUCAUAUUUAUAAAAACUGUAUCAUAAGUCAUAACAAAAUUUUCGAGUAUUAAUUCAAAACAUAUUAUCAUUAUCAGAGUCAAACAUUUCCAGGUUAACUGACUAUGGUGUGUGCACUGCAAUCUUCCCGAGCUCCUCCUUUGAAAAACUGAGUACCUGAAACAAAAACUGAAAACCGUAAGCACGAAGCUUAGUGAGCUCCCCCAAUCUACCACAAACCAUGCAAUAACAUAUAAAGCACAUACUGGGCCCUACCCACUGCAUCGGACCGAAGUCCGGGCUAACUGGGGCCUUGCCCCCUCCAUCGAACCGAAGUCCGAAGCUGACUGACUGGGACCUUGUCCCCUACAUCGGACCGAAGUCCGAAGCUGACUGACUGGGACCUUGUCCCCUACAUCGGACCGAAGUCCGAAGCUGACUGACUGGGACCUUGUCCCCUACAUCGGACCGAAGUCCGAAGCUGACUGACUGAACACAGCAUAGCAUAACAUAUCAAUUAGCAUAAACACAUAAAUCCUGUGUGAGCCACGGAGGCGUCAAACAUACUAACUACUGCAUUGGAUCGAAGUCUAGAAACUACGGCUACUGAACGGGCCGGCAUUGUGGCCUUAGACCCGUUCCUACUAGAAGGAAACUCACCUGAGACUGCUGAACUGUUGCUGCUAAUCCUUUUGACUGCUACCUGACCUCU